rnacentral:rRNA from 1 species
UUAUGGCUCAGGAUGAACGCUGGCGGCGUGCCUAACACAUGCAAGUCGAGCGAUUACUUCGGUAAAGAGCGGCGGACGGGUGAGUAACGCGUGGGUAACCUGCCUCAUACACAUGGAUAACAUACCGAAAGGUAUGCUAAUACAGGAUAAUAUAAGAGAUUCACAUGGAUUUCUUAUCAAAGCUCCGGCGGUAUGAGAUGGACCCGCGUCUGAUUAGCUAGUUGGUAAGGUAAUGGCUUACCAAGGCGACGAUCAGUAGCCGACCUGAGAGGGUGAUCGGCCACAUUGGAACUGAGACACGGUCCAAACUCCUACGGGAGGCAGCAGUGGGGAAUAUUGCACAAUGGGCGAAAGCCUGAUGCAGCAACGCCGCGUGAGUGAUGAAGGCCUUCGGGUCGUAAAACUCUGUCCUCAAGGAAGAUAAUGACGGUACUUGAGGAGGAAGCCCCGGCUAACUACGUGCCAGCCGCCGC